rnacentral:rRNA from 1 species
UACGGAGGGUGCGAGCGUUGUCCGGAAUCACUGGGCGUAAAGGGCGCGUAGGCGGCCCGCGCAAGCGUGCGGUGAAAGCCCGGGGCUCAACCCCGGGUCGGCCGUGCGGACUGCGCGGCUCGAGCACUGUAGGGGCAGAUGGAAUUCCGGGUGUAGCGGUGGAAUGCGUAGAGAUCCGGAAGAACACCGGUGGCGAAGGCGGUCUGCUGGGCAGUAGCUGACGCUGAGGCGCGACAGCGUGGGGAGCAAACAGG